rnacentral:rRNA from 1 species
GAUAAACGCUGGCGGCGUGCAUGAGACAUGCAAGUCGAACGAAGGAUCGGGCUUGCUCGAUCCUUAGUGGCGGACGGCUGAGUAACGCGUAGGUGACCUGCCCCGAAGUGGGGAAUAACUGCCCGAAAGGGUGGCUAAUACCGCAUGUGGUCGCACGUUCAUUCGUGCGAGUAAAGCCGCAAGGCGCUUCGGGAGGGGCCUGCGUCCGAUUAGCUCGUUGGUGGGGUAAUGGCUUACCAAGGCGACGAUCGGUAGGUGGUCUGAGAGGACGAUCACCCAGACUGGGACUGAGACACGGCCCAGACUCCUACGGGAGGCUG